CUCCCAAAAACCAGAGGAGUUCCCCCUCCCCGCUGUCUCAAGCGCACAGCUAUCAGUGCUUCUUAACAACUCAAUGGGAAAAAUUCCACAAGUAACAAGGAAAGAAAAGGAAAGAAAAAAACCCAAACCCCAACAAAGUUUUUCUCUGGCUCACAGGCCUCCUUGGCUAAUCAUGCAUGCACCACUUGGCUUUCUUCUCCUCAGCAGUGCUCGCCGGAUAGGAAUGCUGGCAAUCCGACAGUGCCAUGUCACUUCAGUGAGAGAGCAGGAUGUGCCCAGAAGCUCACCAUGCAUCACAUCUGCUACAGAAGGCAAAAAGACAACACAGUCCAGGAGAAGGAAUGUGGAGGAAUGAGUGCCGUUUCUGAAAACAAGCCGCACGCUUCUCUCCUCCCUUCGCUCUCAGAACAAGUCUUAAAGCAAAAAACUUAUUAUUCAGCAUAAACAGAACAGACGACUGGGGAUACGAGCGUCAUACAGCCAACCCAGGACAGGUGUCCUCUUAGA